GAUGAACGCUAGCGGCAGGCCUAAUACAUGCAAGUCGAGGGGUAGAGGAAGCUUGCUUUCUUGAGACCGGCGCACGGGUGCGUAACGCGUAUGCAACCUACCUUUAUCAGGGGGAUAGCCCGGAGAAAUCCGGAUUAACACCGCAUAAAAUCACAGAACAGCAUUGUUUCAUGAUCAAAUAUUUAUAGGAUAAAGAUGGGCAUGCGUGCCAUUAGCUAGUUGGCGGGGUAACGGCCCACCAAGGCGACGAUGGCUAGGGGCUCUGAGAGGAGAAUCCCCCACACUGGUACUGAGACACGGACCAGACUCCUACGGGAGGCAGCAGUAAGGAAUAUUGGUCAAUGGGGGCAACCCUGAACCAGCCAUGCCGCGUGCAGGAAGACUGCCCUAUGGGUUGUAAACUGCUUUUGUACGGGAAUAACCACUGGUAUGUAUACCAGCCUGAAUGUACCGUAAGAAUAAGGAUCGGCUAACUCCGUGCCAGCCGCCGCCGUAACAC
rnacentral:rRNA from 1 species